CAGGACGAACGCUGGCGGCGCGCCUAACACAUGCAAGUCGAGGGAGAAGCACCCUUCGGGGUGUGGAGACCGGCGAACGGGUGAGUAACACGUGAGGAAUCUGCCCUGUAGACCGGAAUAACCACGGGAAACUGUGGCUAAUGCCGGAUAUUCUCGCCGCUCCGCAUGGAGCAACGAGGAAAUGGUCAGCCGCUACAGGAUGACCUCGCGCCUAUCAGCUUGUGGCGGGUACGCCCAC
rnacentral:rRNA from 1 species